rnacentral:rRNA from 1 species
AACGAACGCUGGCGGCAGGCCUAACACAUGCAAGUCGAGCGGACCCUUCGGGGUUAGCGGCGGACGGGUGAGUAACGCGUGGGAAUAUGCCCUUCUCUACGGAAUAGUCCUGGGAAACUGGGGGUAAUACCGUAUACGCCCUUUGGGGGGAAGAUUUAUCGGGGAAGGAUUAGCCCGCGUUGGAUUAGGUAGUUGGUGGGGUAAUGGCCUACCAAGCCGACGAUCCAUAGCUGGUUUGAGAGGAUGAUCAGCCACACUGGGACUGAGACACGGCCCAGACUCCUGCGAGAGGCAGCAGUGGGGAAUCUCAGACAAUGGGGGGAACCCUGAUCUAGCCAGGCGGCGUGAGUGAUGAAGGCCGUAGGGUUGUAAAGCUCUUUCAGCUGGGAAGAUAAUGACGGUACCAGCAGAAGAAGCCCCGGCUAACUCCGU